AUACUGCUUCUCCUGCUGAAAUGAACGAAAGCUGGUAGCCUCUUCUUUGAGAUCCAGCAGAGCGGUUGUCUUUACGGCUCUUGGCAAUACCUCUGGGGCCCAGAGCCUGCUGCCUCUAGACUCCCCAUGUCCAUCGCUGACCACUGGCCAUCUCAGUCGCACGUCUCCCUUGGCCUCUCCCUCACAUGUAAGAUGCUCAUGACCUUGGCCUUGCCGUUCGGGAUCUCGUGAGGACCCACAACUUGGUAGAAGUUCUGGGGGAGCAGGUGCUCUAGAUGGAUCCUGUCAAUGAUGGCUGCCUGGCAUGGUGCAGACAGGCCCUUCAGAUGAUGGACAGGACAUUGAACUUGGAGGCUGACACAGGAGGAGCCUGCUCCUGUAUCUCGCAGCCUCAAGAAGGGAGAGAGCCUGUGUGAACGCAUAUUCCUUCACUGCAAGUACAGGUAGUUUCCACCGCAGGGUGCACCAGCAUCCUCUGCAAACUUUGAGAACACAGAUGCUCAGCGGCCACCAAGCCCAAGGAGGCAGAGCUCUGGACUGUGCCCAAAGGCUGCCGCUAACAAGCACUGUGGUGACUCCGGCCUCCACAGCCAGCCAGCCCACACCGCAUGGCCUUUGUAACUCACCCAGCGAAUGAUGCUCUAGCAGCUCAAUGUAAAGCUGCCUCGAGUGAGAUCUCUCUGGAGGGAGGAGCCGUUUCAGCAAGAGAAAAUGCAGCACCAGGAGCCUGCAGGCCCCAC